AUGACCAUGACCAUGACCAUAACCAUAACCAUGAUCGUAAACAUGACCAUGACCAUAACCAUGACCAUGACCAUGACCAUAACCAUGACCAUAACCAUGACCAUGACCAUAAACAUGACCAUGACCAUGAGCAUCUGCAUGACCGUAUCCAUCUCCAUCACCACCACCACCACCAUCCCUUCCUCAGACAAUUCUGUGCUCAGUUCCAUCCCUGCGGGCUCACUUCUGGAGCAGGAGCACGGCACGGGGCUGGAGUUUGUUGCGGGUAUUAACAGCGGUGGUGGUACCACAAGAUACGGGGCGGCGGUGUAUGGCCGUGCCACCAUCUCGAGGGACAACGGGCAGAGCACAGUGCGGCUGCAGCUGAACAGCCUCAGGGCUGACGACACCGCCACCUACAGCUGCGCUAAAGAUGCUG